CGACAGAGUUCUGCAGUGGUGUUCCAGUCAGCAGCACUUUGUGUUCCUACAAGACGCAUUGUAUCGUCAGCAGUGCAACCUACCGGUAUGGGGAUAAUGUCAAUGAAUCACAGACUCCACCGCGAGCUGGAAUCAGGGCCGUCGCCACGGAAACAGGCUCUGUACCAAGCUGCAGGAAGCAGCAACGUAAACACGCAGUCUCCACGCGGGUUGCAUGCAUUGGUCUAGAUUUUUCUGUGGUUCCGCAACACUAUAAUCAAAUUGGUCCUUUGCAUGUGAAAAUGGCACUGUCAUGGGUUGGAGCCCUGCGGAAAAACACUGUCUGAGAGGGAGGGAGUCACAAAAGUUAGGUACGCAAUAGAGUAUCGCAAUCAUGAGCUGCUUUCCUGUACUUUCCUGUACUUGUGCACUCAUGUUAGGUAUUGGUCUAGGACUAGGCUUAAUCCGUGUAUGGGAAAGAAAUUGUUAUGAUUGUUUUACUAAGAUGUUAUGCAUAUGGUGGUGGUCUGUACUUCAAACUAUUAAAGUUUGCCUUUAAUUAGAUAUAUAUAUCUACGAAAUAAAUAAAUGGAAGUGUUAGCGUUAAAUUCUGUCAGGAAGACUCAAUGCGUCACUCAUUCAUUCAUUACUUCCGACCAAUCACCAGUCUGCAUCAGCCUUUAUAAUCACUUUAUUUGCACCUGCCUGCUGC